rnacentral:tRNA from 1 species
UGGCUCAGUUGGUAGAGCAUGGCGCUUGCAACACCAGGGUUGUGGGUUCGAUUCUCAC